AUAAGAAAUGAGCAUUUACAAAAUCUCAACAGCAUAUUGCAAUGCAAAAACUAUGAUGAUCAAUCACAUUUUUCAUUUCAUUUUGUUAGGUUGAUGGAUAUGAUUUUGUAAAGCCCUUUUGAGAACCUAUGAUAAACGAGAAUCCUCUUUAGAAACGAUUUUCGUUUUCCAAAUCAAGAAGGGCAAGACAUUUAGUAACAAAGAAUCAUUUCAAAUCAUGAUAAGCUAAAAUUGUUUUGCAGGAUGGGAAUAAGGGCCUUUGGCCCUGUUUCUCUCUGAACUUCACAUACAUUGAUGGUCCAGUAUUCUAGCCCUCUUCAUUGGCCACUGUUAUGCUUGCCCAACAUGCAAUUGUUUGAAUUCUCCUUCUAAAUUUCUUGCUAUUAAAUAUAUUAGCUCACUUCAAUAUGUUCUUUUUCUUGAUGAUCCAUGGACUCAUUAAUUGGUUGUUGUCAUGAUUUCCCCAGCUCACCAUUAUGUAAA